rnacentral:tRNA from 1 species
GGUUCUCAAGAAUUAAAUUCGUUUUGUUUUGAACACAAAAAGAGGGAUAAAUACAAUCCCGGGAACCUU